rnacentral:rRNA from 1 species
CUUACCAGGUCCAGACACGGGGAGGAUUGACAGAUUGAGAGCUCUUUCUUGAUUCUGUGGGUGGUGGUGCAUGGCCGUUCUUAGUUGGUGGGUUGCCUUGUCAGGUUGAUUCCGGUAACGAACGAGACCUCAGCCUGCUAAAUAGUCACGGCUACUUUUUGUAGCCGCCAGACUUCUUAGAGGGACUAUUGUCGUUUAGGCAAUGGAAGUGUGAGGCAAUAACAGGUCUGUGAUGCCCUUAGAUGUUCUGGGCCGCACGCGCGCUACACUGUUGCAUUCAACGAGCCUAUCCUUGGCCGAGAGGUCCGGGUAAUCUUUGAAACUGCAACGUGAUGGGGAUAGAUUAUUGCAAUUAUUAGUCUUCAACGAGGAAUGCCUAGUAAGCGCGAGUCAUCAGCUCGCGUUGAUUACGUCCCUGCCCUUUGUACACACCGCCCGUCGCUCCUACCGAUUGGGUGUGCUGGUGAAGUGUUCGGAUUGGUUUCAGUUGAUGGUAACAUUGGCUGUUGCUGAGAAGAUCAUUAAACCCUCCCACCUAGAGGAAGGAGAAGUCGUAACAAGGU